AGGAAGUACAGGGGAGACUAGAGUGAGAAUCGACCGCGCCCUCUUAUCUGACUAGAAUCACGUAAUUGUUGACUGCAAGGUUGUCAUUGCGCUCGUAUUACUUGAUGACAACAAAUUCAGAAUUACGUCUCUCGAUGCUUUUCAUAAUAUACGAGGAACGAACGAGGGGAAAAAGAUACGAAAGAAAACCAUCGAGGCCUGAUAAUUUAUCUCUGAAGUUGCUGUGAAGUACACAGACGACUUAUUUGUAUUACUAUAUCAAGAACGAAGAGAUAAAU
rnacentral:misc_RNA from 1 species